CCAAUAGCGUAUAUUAAAGUUGUUGCAGUUAAAAAGCUCGUAGUUGAAUUUCGGGGUCAGCAAGUUGGUCGUGCCACCGGGAUGUACUGGCUUUGCUGAUUCCUCCUUCUUGUAGAACCGUAAUGCCAUUCAGUUGGUGUUGCGGGGAAACAGGACUGUUACUUUGAAAAAAUUAGAGUGUUUAAAGCAGGCUAACGCCUGAAUACAUUAGCAGGGAAUAAUGAAAUAGGACGAACGAUCUUAUUUUGUUGGUUUCUAGGAUUGACGUAAUGAUUAAUAGGGAUAGUUGGGGGCAUUAGUAUUCAAUUGUCAGAGGUGAAAUUCUUGGAUUUAUUGAAGACUAGCUACUGCGAAAGCAUUUGCCAAGGAUGUUUUCAUUAAUCAAGAACGAAAGUUAGGGGAUCGAAGACGAUCAGAUACCGUCGUAGUCUUAACCAUAAACUAUGCCGACUAGGGAUCGGAUGAUGUUAAUUUUUUAAUGACUCAUUCGGCGCCUUACG
rnacentral:rRNA from 1 species